GACGAACGCUGGCGGCGUGCUUAACACAUGCAAGUCGAGCGGAAAGGCCCUUCGGGGUUCUCGAGCGGCGAACGGGUGAGUAACACGUGAGUAACCUGCCCCAGACUUUGGGAUAACCCUCGGAAACGGGGGCUAAUACCGGAUACGACACAGCUUCGCAUGGGGUCUGUGUGGAAAGUUUUUCGGUUUGGGAUGGGCUCGCGGCCUAUCAGCUUGUUGGUGGGGUGAUGGCCUACCAAGGCGACGACGGGUAGCCGGCCUGAGAGGGCGACCGGCCACACUGGGACUGAGACACGGCCCAGACUGCUACGGGAGGCAGCAGUGGGGAAUAUUGCACAAUGGGCGGAAGCCUGAUGCAGCGACGCCGCGUGAGGGAUGACGGCCUUCGGGUUGUAAACCUCUUUCAGCAGGGACGAAGCGUAAGUGACGGUACCUGCAGAAGAAGCGCCGGCUAACUACGUG
rnacentral:rRNA from 1 species